ACAAGUCUAAUGAAAUCAAUAAUGGGAAAUAAUGUCCCACAACAUCUAUCGACAUCUGAAAACCGUCUGCGAAAUCUCUACUACAUGACUAAAACAAAUAAUUCUCUGAAAUUUGGGACAAGGCCCUCAGUAGACCCAAAACUAUUAAAUGAUAAAUAAACUGCCAGACAUCAGGACUUCCGAAAUAUAGAAGGCUCACCACUUGACUUUGCAAAUCUGUCUGAAGAAUCUACUGAUUUUCUGGACCCCUAGAUUGUGCCUCCGAACCUGGGAGGGAAGGGGGUCAGUACAAAGUACUAGUACGCAAAGUAAUCCAAAACAAAGUAGAGAUUUUUAGUAAUCCAAAACAAAGCAGAGAUUUUUAUAUCAAGUAAAUGAGUGUUGUUACAAAACACAUUAUUGCAAAAUGAUUUCGAAAAUACAUGGUCAUAGUAUACUGAUUUUUCAACAACAAUGCAACACAUCUGAGCUAGGUGGUACACCCUACAAUUUCACAUUUUUACCAACUGUCAAAUCUCAGUUUCCGCCGAGAUUAGAGUAUAACUGAAGGAAAGACACACAAGAUCACACAGCAGGGUGUCUCAAACCAAUCAAGUAUGGUAGCGCACAAAAUCAUAAAGCAGGGCUCCUAACCAUAGUCCCAAUUUGGGAUGACAUAAUGUCAGGUACACAAGAUCACACAGCAGGGUACUAAGUUCUCGAGUCGAAAAAUACGGUUUCUAGCGUAGAGACAUUUGACUCGUGUUUUCUUCGGGUAACCACCUAUCUCACAAAAUCAAUGCAUGAAGCUUAUUUUAAUCAAUCACAUGUCAUACUCUGCAGGGUAUCGUCAUACCCGACUUGCAAGUCAUCAAUAUCACAUCAACUUUCCAACUUCUCAAACCAUUUACCAUAUGCACAUAUGUAUGACUUUCACAUCAUUAAAACACAUACACUAUAGUUCUCAACAUGCAAUUAUUUAAGAAGGUUAAUCAUUUAUGAGUAAUGUCAUAUCAAUUGCAAAACUCAUGCUCUCAAUGGUUUAACACUAGUAUAAUAUGGGGUAUAAACAUUAUCAUAGGGAAUUUAGAAAAUUCACAACUCAUGUACAUCGAACCCUUUUGAAAUUUCAGGUCACAUGUUCACAAUUCAACCAUUUAAAUAUAUUCAAACAAACAACCCCAUGAUAUCUCAAUAAUUCUUUCAAAAUCAUAUAUCAAAACAUGUUAUUUGUAUCAAUUGAAAACCCCCAUUUGUAAAAACUUGUAUAAAUUUAAAGUCUUGCAUAAAUUCGUUUUUGAAAACAUGCCCAUGAAAUUUAGGACAACCCCACGUACCUCUAUGUUGGAGAAUAAUGAAUGAUUCUUGAAGCUUAUAGAUUGGGAAUUCCAGAUCUCUAAUUAUCUUCAAAAACUCACGGUUGAAUCUUGAAUUAUUUGGAAUUCUUGUCUGAAACCCUAGAGAGCGUUCUUGAUGAAUUUUGGUGAAAGUGUAUGUAUUUAGGUGUAUUUGGGAUUAAAUCUCGUGUUUAUAUGGGUUUGGGGCCAUGGAAAAUGUCUAGUUUGACCUUAGAAUUUAAAAUUUGGGAAUGGAACGCCGUAUAAGGCUUCACCGCGAUGCGCUGGAAAUCACGAUGAGCUACUAGAAUUGACAAUUGUCAAUUUAAGGCUCAUCACGAUGCGGUGGCCAGUCAAACGGAAAUGCUGACACUAAAAAUGCUCUAACUUCUUCACCGAGUGUCUAUUUUAAGGCGAAUUUCGUAUCGAUGGAAAGCUAAUUUGAUGAUAUUUCAUUUGAUAUAUAGUAGACCACCCAGUUCAUCAUAUAUAAUGAGUUAUGAUCGAUUGAAGUUGACCCAAGUUUCAACGUUCACUAAAACUUGAACGAUAGGAAAGUUUUGAACUCAUCUUUGAGUUAAGAGACUUCUAUGAUCUCAAUUUAUGCUAUACUAGAUUCAUACACUACAUAAUUUAUUAUACACUAAAUUUGCAUAGGAUUCAUGAAUUUUUCAACCUCUAUGUGAAAGAAUAACGAUUUACGUUCUAACCCGAACUGUAGGGUGUUACAAAAGGUCAUUGUAUGCUUGUUUUAGAUAAGUCCAUAAGUGUGAAGUAAGAUUAGGUCCAAGUCUUUGAUACAUGUGAUGGUUAGUUAAAAUUUUUGUGUGUUUAUUCUUGGGGUAGCGCGUGGGAAUUAUAUUGAUAGUGGUUUAGAGAAUAUGUGAAAUAUGUCUUUAUGAGUGUUUGCCUUGAAGUCCAUAUGCGGUUAUAAAGAUAGGCUUGAAUGGCAUGUUGGGAUUUAAGUGGAGGAACAUAAUAUGCACUAGUGAAUCCAUAGUACGAUGUUCAGAGUUAGUCAUUGAAGUGGUAAGGCACAUUAUGCUUAGGGUAUGAGCUCUAAAAAUAUAUAAAAGAUUGAAUCAUAUGGUUUAGACUAGUAUCGUGGUGUGACAUGUUGUAUUUUUGUGAGUUGGAGUUAGGCUUGAUCACGGUGAGAGGAUUUAAGUUACUUUAGACAUUAGUAGAAAGAUUUAUCAGUGCCCAUAUGAGGAUUAUAAGUUGAAUCAAAUAAGUAUGGUAUUUAAAGGGAAUAGUAUAGUUCAGGGAGUAUUCGAAAAGUGUGCUAAGCUUGAAAGCAAGAAGUUGCAUUGCCUAAGGCCUGGUAAUUCUAUCCUAGUUUAUGAGUUAUAUGUCUAUAUUCGAUGCUAUGGAGUGGUGUCACUGUUGUGAUUCCUUAGAUGGAUGUCUUGUGUAGAUCAUGACCACGAUUCUUUUCUCCCUAAUGCUCCUAGGAACAGGGGACCACUAGGAUCUAUCUUAGGUGCCAUAUCUAUUUCGCAGGCUACGAUUAAGGUGGAAUAAAAAAAUCAAAGAAUCUCGAAAUCUAUAACUUGUAAUCAGAGAUCUAUGGCUCACAAAUGGAGAUCUAACUCCUCUAAACUUACUAGCUUACAAACAGGAACAACAAGCUGAAUAAACUCACUUUAUUGAUGAUGUAUUCACACUCGAUUGUUGUUUCUCUAGUUCCAUGAUUGUGUGUCUCUGAUCCCAUGUUGAAAUAUCUCUCAAGCUCUCACACACACACACACAACUGUCAUUGCAGCAGUUACUGAGCUUGAUUAGAAGAAGGGAAGAAGAGAGAAAUUGAGCUAAGAAGAAAC
rnacentral:lncRNA from 1 species